UUCACUUCCGGUGGAUCCUGCCUGCCCAAGUUGCUUGGAACAGCACAUCGGAGAGGGUGACAAUCCCGUAUGUGGCAGGUGGGACUGCUCAUGAUGCGCUUUCCAUGAGUCGGGUUGCUUGGGAAUGCAGCCCAAAAUUGGUGGUAGACUCCAUCUAAAGCUGAAUACUGGCACGAGACCGAUAGCGAACAAGUACCGUGAGGGAAAGAUGAAAAGAACUUUGAAAAGAGAGUUACAAAGUGCGUGAAACCGUUAGAGGGGAAGCGGAUGAAGUUAGCAAUGCUCCCGUGAGAUUCAGGUGUUCUAUCUGGUUAGACGUGUGGCCGGCGGAUCCGAAUGGACUGUCACCAUUCGACUUGACCAGGUACUACCGCACUUCUCGCAGGGGUGCGUCAACAGCUGCUGGAUCAAAGAUGUCGACUUCUGUCGCCUCUUGUGAUGGAUUGG
rnacentral:rRNA from 1 species